AUGAGCGCUCUGUUGUAUAACAGGCUCAUGAGAUACAGUCGCUCACAAAAGAACUUGAGUACUUCAAGUGUGUGUUGCCGGACAAGUUUGUUGCCGAAAAAGUUUGUCGCCGGAGGCAUCAUUGCCAAGCUUCCACCUUCGUGGAACAAUUUUGCUACUUCCCUGAAACACAAGAGACAGGAGUUUUCCGUUGCGGAUCUCAUUGGUACUCUUGAUGUUGAAGAGAAGGAGAGAGAAAAGGAAACACAUGCUCGAGUUGCUGAGGGAGCUUCUAGUGCCCACAUGAUACAGAAGAAGAACUUCCAGCCCAACAAGUUCAAAAACAACAAUAACAAAACUCAGGGCAAAGGCAAGUUUGAUACAAAGAACAAGCCGUCACAUUCUAUCAACUUCAAGAAGAAUUCUCAUAAGAAAGGGAAGGGACUUUGCCAUGUUUGCGGUGAUCCUAAUCACUGGGCUCCGAAGUGUCCUAACCACUUUAAGGAGCACGAACAUGAGAAGAGCGACAAGUCCGCUAAUGUUGUCAUCAGUGAUACUGAUAUGAAGGAAUCUGGGUACGGUCACAGGGACUUCUCCCGUGCUGAUGGGGAACGGGUCACAUGCCAUCGUUCGAGGUGUUGGUACGGUCGAUCUGAAGUUUACUUCGAGAAAGACCGUGCGUCUGAAGAACGUUCAUCAUGUGUCGUCCAUCAAUAA
rnacentral:rRNA from 1 species